CACGUAGGGGACGAGCGUUGUCCGGAUUCAUUGGGCGUAAAGCGCGCGUAGGCGGCUCGGAAAGUCGGGCGUGAAAUGCCGGGGCUCAACCCCGGGACUGCGUCCGAAACUUCCAAGCUUGAGUUCUGGAGAGGAAGGCGGAAUUCUCGGUGUAGAGGUGAAAUUCGUAGAUAUCGAGAGGAACACCGGUGGCGAAGGCGGCCUUCUGGACAGUGACUGACGCUGAGACGCGAAAGCGUGGGGAGCAAACAGG
rnacentral:rRNA from 1 species